CUAAUCCUACUUUCGGGGAUAAGUUCUUUAGAAAAACAUUUCUCACGAUAAAACUAAAGUGAGUUCCACCACCCACGAUGAUGAGCUGGGGUGCUUCUUCCUCAGCGCUAAGCUGGUACAGAGAAGAGGUUUAAUCACAAGCUCUGUGCCUUAGAUGAUGUUCAAUGUUCCUUUCAUGGGAGCAUCAAGAGAAGGGGCAUGUUCUGAGUGGU